rnacentral:rRNA from 1 species
CAGUAGCCGCGGGAAUACGAAGGGGGCUAGCGUUGCUCGGAAUCACUGGGCGUAAAGGGCGCGUAGGCGGCUGAUCUAGUCGAGGGUGAAAGCCCGUGGCUCAACCACGGAAUGGCCUUCGAUACUGGUUGGCUUGAGACCGGAAGAGGACAGCGGAACUGCGAGUGUAGAGGUGAAAUUCGUAGAUAUUCGCAAGAACACCAGUGGCGAAGGCGGCUGUCUGGUCCGGUUCUGACGCUGAGGCGCGAAAGCGUGGGGAGCAAACAGGAUUAGAUACCCGGGUAGUCCCUGUCUCUUAUAC